rnacentral:lncRNA from 1 species
UAGUAGUUUUAUUUUUUAUUUUUAAUUAAAUGAAAUAGAUUGUUAUUACAGGUAAAUUUCACACCAUUCAAAAGUUUUCACAAAGCUUAGUAGUAUCAACACUUGACGCAUGCUUAGGAUUCGCUGUGACUGCACGGAGAAAUUUAUUAAGUCUGACAGAUUUUUUGGGCAAUUUAUUUUUUAUUAUUUAAUAUUAAUAUUUAUGAGAAAGCUGAGAAAUGAUUGCAGGGUUCGCGACAGAAAAUAAAUGUAAAGCUUUAGAUUACAGGAGACAGUUGAAGAAGAAGGAAGAGAUUUAGAAGAAGAGAAGAAGAAGAAGAAAGUAAGCUAAUACAGUAUGAACCUACCGAGACCUUCAAGUUCGGGAUAAUUAGAUAACGAUGUAAGAUCUGGAGCCACUGCGACAGUAUCAGGGAAGAAAUCCACCUAGGAGUUUAAAUUGAAAAAAAAUACCAGCAAAGUUUAGUAAAUUAAUUGUCAAUUAACAAGGCAAUGCGUCAAAUGUACAAUCAGCAAUUGUAAGGUAAUAAUGUUCGCUGGUAGAAUUGCUUACUGUCAAAGCUAACAAAUAGUUCUGGCAUAUCGUCGACGGAAACCAUGCUGCGAUAAUC